rnacentral:rRNA from 1 species
GAUGAACGCUAGCUACAGGCUUAACACAUGCAAGUCGAGGGGAAACGACAUCGAAAGCUUGCUUUUGAUGGGCGUCGACCGGCGCACGGGUGAGUAACGCGUAUCCAACCUGCCCAUCACUUGGGAAUAACCUUGCGAAAGUAAGACUAAUACCCAAUGACAUCCCACGAAGACAUCUGAAUGGGAUUAAAGAUUUAUCGGUGAUGGAUGGGGAUGCGUCUGAUUAGCUUGUUGGCGGGGUAACGGCCCACCAAGGCAACGACCAGUAGGGGUUCUGAGAGGAAGGUCCCCCACAUUGGAACUGAGACACGGUCCAAACUCCUACGGGAGGCAGCAGUGAGGAAUAUUGGUCAAUGGGCGAGAGCCUGAACCAGCCAAGUAGCGUGCAGGAUGACGGCCCUAUGGGUGGUAAACUGCUUUUAUAAGGGAAUAAAGUGGGUCUCGUGAGACUUUUUGCAUGUACCUUAUGAAUAAGGACCGGCUAAUUCCGUG